AUUGAACGCUGGCGGCAGGCCUAACACAUGCAAGUCGAACGGUAACAGGGAUCAGCUUGCUGAUUCGCUGACGAGUGGCGGACGGGUGAGUAAUGUCUGGGAAACUGCCUGAUGGAGGGGGAUAACUACUGGAAACGGUAGCUAAUACCGCAUAACGUCGCAAGACCAAAGAGGGGGACCUUCGGGCCUCUUGCCAUCGGAUGUGCCCAGAUGGGAUUAGCUAGUAGGUGGGGUAACGGCUCACCUAGGCGACGAUCCCUAGCUGGUCUGAGAGGAUGACCAGCCACACUGGAACUGAGACACGGUCCAGACUCCUACGGGAGGCAGCAGUGGGGAAUAUUGCACAAUGGGCGCAAGCCUGAUGCAGCCAUGCCGCGUGUAUGAAGAAGGCCUUCGGGUUGUAAAGUACUUUCAGCGGGGAGGAAGGGAGUAAAGUUAAUACCUUUGCUCAUCGACGUUACCCGCAGAAGAAGCACCGGCUAACUCCGUG
rnacentral:rRNA from 1 species